GUGGGGAAUCUUGCGCAAUGGGCGAAAGCCUGACGCAGCCAAGCCGCGUGAAUGAUGAAGGUCUUAGGAUUGUAAAAUUCUUUCACCGGGGACGAUAAUGACGGUACCCGGAGAAGAAGCUCCGGCUAACUUCGUGCCAGCAGCCGCGGUAAUACGGAGGGUGCAAGCGUUAUCCGGAAUCAUUGGGUUUAAAGGGUCCGCAGGCGGGCUAUCAAGUCAGAGGUGAAAUCCCACAGCUUAACUGUGGAACUGCCUUUGAAACUGAUGGUCUUGAAUUAAGUGGGCGUUGGCGGAAUAUGACAUGUAGCGGUGAAAUGCAUAGAUAUGUCAUGGAACACCGAAAGCGAAGGCAGCUAACGAUACUUAUAUUGACGCUCAUGGACGAAAGCGUGGGUAGCGAACAGGAUUAGAAACCCCAGUAGUCC
rnacentral:rRNA from 1 species